rnacentral:rRNA from 1 species
GAUGAACCCUGGCGGCGUGCCUAAUACAUGCAAGUCGAGCGAAUGGAUUAAGAGCUUGCUCUUAUGAAGUUAGCGGCGGACGGGUGAGUAACACGUGGGUAACCUGCCCAUAAGACUGGGAUAACUCCGGGAAACCGGGGCUAAUACCGGAUAACAUUUUGAACCGCAUGGUUCGAAAUUGAAAGGCGGCUUCGGCUGUCACUUAUGGAUGGACCCGCGUCGCAUUAGCUAGUUGGUGAGGUAACGGCUCACCAAGGCAACGAUGGGUAGCCGACCGGAGAGGGUGAUCGGCAACACUGGGACUGGGACACGGCCCAGACUCCUACGGGAGGCAGCAGUAGGGAAUCUUCCGCAAUGGACGAAAGUCUGACGGAGCAACGCCGCGUGAGUGAUGAAGGCUUUCGGGUCGUAAAACUCUGUUGUUAGGGAAGAACAAGUGCUAGUUGAAUAAGCUGGCACCUUGACGGUACCUAACCAGAAAGCCACGGCUAACUACGUGCCAGCAGCCGCGGUAA